UCCGGUUUAUCACCAGCAGUCUCAUUAGAGUGCUCUAUCCGUAGCAACUAAUGACAAGGGUUGCGCUCGUUGCGGGACUUAACCCAACAUCUCACGACACGAGCUGACGACAGCCAUGCAGCACCUGUGUUCACUUUCCCUUUCGGGCACCUUAUGUAUCUCUACUUCGUUAGUGACAUGUCAAGGGUAGGUAAGGUUUUUCGCGUUGCAUCGAAUUAAUCCACAUCAUCCACCGCUUGUGCGGGUCCCCGUCAAUUCCUUUGAGUUUUAAUCUUGCGACCGUACUCCCCAGGCGGUCAACUUCAUGCGUUAGCUUCGUUACUGCGUCCUUAACGGACCCAACAACUAGUUGACAUCGUUUAGGGCGUGGACUAC
rnacentral:misc_RNA from 1 species